GCCUUCGUGGUGUAGUGGUCAGCACGCUCGGCGCGUAUUCGAGAGGUCCGUGGUUCGAUUCCCGGCGAGGGCA
rnacentral:tRNA from 1 species